rnacentral:rRNA from 1 species
ACUCAAAUGAAUUGACGGGGACCCGCACAAGCGGUGGAGCAUGUGGUUUAAUUCGAGGCAACGCGAAGAACCUUACCAGGACUUGACAUCCCUUCUAAACCUUUUGUAAUGAAAGGCUCGGUUCGGCCGGGGAGGAGACAGGUGCUGCAUGGCUGUCGUCAGCUCGUGUCGUGAGAUGUUGGGUUAAGUCCCGCAACGAGCGCAACCCUCAUCUUUAGUUACCAGCGGGUUAUGCCGGGGACUCUAAAGAAACUGCCUAUGACAAGUAGGAGGAAGGCGAGGAUGACGUCAAGUCAGCACGGCCCUUACGUCCUGGGCCACACACGUGCUACAAUGGUGGUGACAAUGGGCUGCAACCGUGCGAGCGGAAGCUAAUCUCAAAAAACCAUCUCAGUUCGGAUUGCUCUCUGCAACUCGAGAGCAUGAAGCUGGAAUCGCUAGUAAUCGCAUAUCAGCAGGAUGCGGUGAAUACGUUCCCGGGUCUUGUACACACCGCCCGU